GGGGGAACCCUGAUGCAGCGACGCAGCGUGCGGGAUGACGGCCUUCGGGUUGUAAACCGCUUUCAGCAGGGAAGAAGCGAAAGUGACGGUACCUGCAGAAGAAGUACCGGCUAACUACGUGCCAGCAGCCGCGGUAAUACGUAGGGUACGAGCGUUGUCCGGAAUUAUUGGGCGUAAAGAGCUCGUAGGUGGUUGGUCACGUCUGCUGUGGAAACGCAACGCUUAACGUUGCGCGUGCAGUGGGUACGGGCUGACUAGAGUGCAGUAGGGGAGUCUGGAAUUCCUGGUGUAGCGGUGAAAUGCGCAGAUAUCAGGAGGAACACCGGUGGCGAAGGCGGGACUCUGGGCUGUAACUGACACUGAGGAGCGAAAGCAUGGGGAGCGAACAGGAUUAGAUACCCUGGUAGUCCAUGCCGUAAACGUUGGGCACUAGGUGUGGGGGACAUUCCACGUUCUCCGCGCCGUAGCUAACGCAUUAAGUGCCCCGCCUGGGGAGUACGGUCGCAAGGCUAAAACUCAAAGGAAUUGACGGGGGCCCGCACAAGCGGCGGAGCAUGCGGAUUAAUUCGAUGCAACGCGAAGAACCUUACCAAGGCUUGACAUACACUGGACCGUUCUGGAAACAGUUCUUCUCUUUGGAGCUGGUGUACAGGUGGUGCAUGGUUGUCGUCAGCUCGUGUCGUGAGAUGUUGGGUUAAGUCCCGCAACGAGCGCAACCCUCGUUCUAUGUUGCCAGCACGUGAUGGUGGGAACUCAUAGGAGACUGCCGGGGUCAACUCGGAGGAAGGUGGGGAUGACGU
rnacentral:rRNA from 1 species